CAGUCGCCGCGGAAUACGGAGGGGGCUAGCGUUGUUCGGAAUUACUGGGCGUAAAGCGUGCGUAGGUGGUGGUUUAAGUCCGUUGUGAAAGCCCUGGGCUCAACCUGGGAAUUGCAGUGGAUACUGGGUCACUAGAGUGUGGUAGAGGAUAGUGGAAUUUCCGGUGUAGCAGUGAAAUGCGUAGAGAUCGGAAGGAACAUCUGUGGCGAAGGCGACUAUCUGGGCCAACACUGACACUGAGGCACGAAAGCGUGGGGAGCAAACAGGAUUAGAUACCCCCGUAGUCCCUGUCUCUUAUACC
rnacentral:rRNA from 1 species